rnacentral:rRNA from 1 species
CGUACGAGAAAUCCUGGGCAACUGGGAGAGUAAAGUGGCGCACGGGUGAGUAACGCGUGGGUAAUCUACCUCGGUCUGGGGGAUAACGCACCGAAAGGUACGCUAAUACCGCAUAAUCCGACGGAUCAUGGGGUCUGUUGGGAAAGGUGGCCUCUACAUGUAAGCUACCGAACUGAGAUGAGCCCGCGUCCUAUUAGCUUGUUGGUGGGGUAAAGGCCUACCAAGGCGACGAUGGGUAGCUGGUCUGAGAGGACGGCCAGCCACACUGGAACUGGUACACGGUCCAGACUCCUACGGGAGGCAGCAGUGAGGAAUAUUGCGCAAUGGGGGAAACCCUGACGCAGCGAUGCCGCGUGGGUGAAGAAGGCCUUCGGGUCGUAAAGCCCUGUCAAACGGGAAGAACCGUCUGGGGAUGAAUAAUUCUCAGGCCUGACGGUACCGUUGAAGGAAGCACCGGCUAACUCCGUGCCAGCAGCCGCGGUAAGACGGAGGGUGCAAGCGUUAUUCGGAUUUAUUGGGCGUAAAGAGCAUGUAGGCGGUCGGCCAAGUCUGAUGUGAAAGCCCGGGGCUUAACCUCGGAAGGGCGUUGGAAACUGGUCGACUUGAGUUCGGGAGAGGGAAGCGGAAUUCCGGGUGUAGAGGUGAAAUUCGUAGAUAUCCGCAGGAACAUCCGAGGCGAAAGCGGCUUGCUGGAUCGCAACUGACGCUGAGGGACGAAAGCUAGGGUAGCAAACAGGAU